UUUUACAUUUACCGAGCCCUAAAACCUAACGCUACAAUAGCCAAGGUAUUAAGGCCGCAAGCAAGAUUUAGAUAAAUAUUUUAGAUAAAUAUUUUAGAUAAAUACUGCUUGCUAGGGCGAGAAUGGGAAACUAACUCGCCUCCCGUAUAGGAAAGGACUUUAAUGAGAGCUUUA
rnacentral:ncRNA from 2 species